GUCGCUGAAAGCCGCCAGCGCGGUCUGGCGGAGCAGGCGGGCCAGGGCGCGCGCCUUGUGCGCCCGCGCCAGCAGCACGGCGUGGCAGCGCAGCACCACGGCCUUGUGGCGCGCCUGGUGGCGGUAGACCCAGGCGAAGACGCGCGGGUGGCGCCCGUCCGCCGUGCAGUAGGUGAUGCGCGGCAGCAGUGAAUAUUCACUAAGAGCCCACUACGUGCCAGGCCCUGUGCUGGGGCCUCUGAGGCAAACAGGACGUGAUUCAGGAUGUGAUCCUCAUUCUCCAAUCCAGAACCUUACAGAGGAGAUUUGAGCCUGAAAUUCAUCUGCAGUCCUCUCUAGCACAUGGGUUUGUUAUCUCUCUUCCAGUCCUGACAGGUGAUGGUCACACGGUUUGGGGACUUUUCAGCAGUUUCUUUUACUCUGACAUGCCUCUGCUCAAAAGCUCCGUGCUGCUUACAGAAGAGAGUCCGGACUCCACAGUUCCUGGAACCUAAGUUUUUUGAUACAAAUUUAUUGAAAUAUUGAAAGGACCGCCAUGAUCUUGCUCUAAUGUGUCUUUUCAGCCUUUUUCCCCACUACCUCUCCCUGACCCUGGUGGAAUCUAUUUUUCUGUAACUCAACUGGUGCAUUUUUUAGGAACCUCACGUUAUCAAACUGUGUUGUUUAAUAAUAAUUGUUUCAAUAGAAAAAUAAUAAAGGC